rnacentral:rRNA from 1 species
GUGUCAGCAGCCGCGGUAAGACAGAGGGUGCAAACGUUGUUCGGAAUUACUGGGCGUAAAGCGUGUGUAGGCGGUCCACUAAGUCGGGUGUGAAAGCCCUGGGCUCAACCCAGGAAGUGCACUCGAAACUGGCGGGCUAGAGUAUCGGAGAGGUUGGUGGAAUUCUCGGUGUAGAGGUGAAAUUCGUAGAUAUCGAGAGGAACACCGGUGGCGAAGGCGGCCAACUGGACGAAUACUGACGCUGAGACACGAAAGCGUGGGGAGCAAACAGGAUUAGAUACCCUGGUAGUCC